AAGGGCACCACAAGAACGCGUGGAGCAUGUGGCUUAAUUUGACUCAACGCGGGAAAUCUUACCAGGUCCGGACAUAUUGAGGAUUGACAGGCGAUAGUAAUAUUAUUAUAUAAUAUUGCAUAAAAAUGAUAGUCCUUUCAUGAUUAUAUGAUAGGUGGUGCAUGGCCGUUCUUAGUUCGUGGAGUGAUUUGUCUGCUUAAUUGCGUUUCAGAUAUAUAAUUAUAUAAUAUAUUAUAUAUGUAAUAUAUAAUUUAAUAUUGUGCUGCCUUAUAUAUAUAAUUAUAUAGGAUUUUAAGUGAACAUAUUUUAUUAUUACAUAUAUUAUUAUAUAUAUUUAUUAUAUAUUAAAAUGAAUGCAACGAACGUGACCGUAACCUUUUAUUGCUAUAAAUAAUAUAUAUUAUUUAUAUUAUAAUAUAGCAUAAAAUUAAAGGGACCGCUGUCUAAAUUUUAGUGUUAAAAUAGAGUAAGAUUACGGCAAUAACAGGUCUGUGAUGCCCUCAGAUGUUCUGGGCUGCACACGUGCUACAAUAAUUACAUUAAUAAGUAUCUAUUAUAAUACAUAAUAUGUUUACAUAUUAUAAUAAACCUAUUUCGAAAGUAAAUGGGUAAUCAUUUAAAAAUCGUGAUUAUUCAUACAUAUAUGGUAUAUUAAUAUUGUAUAAUACUAUACAUUUUAUAGUACUAUUACAAAUACCAUUAAUUAAUUUAAGGGGGGGAUAGUGUAUUGUUAAAUAUUACACUUGGCCUUAACCAAGAAUGCCUUGUACUCUUCUUUGGUUUAACAUACCAAGAGGAAUACGUCCCUGCCCUUUGUACACACCGCCCGUCGCUCUUACCGAUGAAUUAUAUUAUAAAUC
rnacentral:rRNA from 1 species